AGGACGAACGCUGGCGGCGUGCUUAACACAUGCAAGUCGAGCGGAAAGGCCCUUCGGGGUACUCGAGCGGCGAACGGGUGAGUAACACGUGAGUAACCUGCCCCUAGCUCUGGGAUAGCUCCGGGAAACCGGGAUUAAUACCAGAUACGACCACUUUAGACAUCUGUCGUGGUGGAAAGGAUUCCGGCUAGGGAUGGGCUCGCGGCCUAUCAGCUUGUUGGUGGGGUAACGGCCUACCAAGGCGACGACGGUAGCCGGCCUGAGAGGGCGACCGGCCACACUGGGACUGAGACACGGCCCAGACUCCUACGGGAGGCAGCAGUGGGAAUAUUGCGCAAUGGGCGAAAGCCUGACGCAGCGACGCCGCGUGGGGAUGAAGGCCUUCGGGUUGUAAACCCCUUUCAGCAGGGACGAAGCGAAAGUGACGGUACCUGCAGAAGAAGCGCCGGCUAACUACGUGCCAGCAGCCGC
rnacentral:rRNA from 1 species